GCCUCGCUCUGCUCGGAGAAAAUUUAAGUUAGCGCCCCUCCUAACCUAAAAUCCUGGAUCUGCUCCUCAUAUGGUUUAGGGGUGGGGAGCUCGACCAUUUCCAAGUUAUUAAACAGGAGGGGGUGGAGUGGCCCAAAGGAUGCCACCUUUAUAUCAUAUGAUUUACUUACAUUCAGGUAUAUAUAAUAUAGUUGCAUUAUUUGUGAAAAUAAAGAAACUUUCAGCUACUUUAAUUGACCCUUCAAAAUUGAGAUAAAAAAAUAAUCCUUCGAAAUUGCAGUACUAUGUUUACACUUUAAAAGCAUCUCACAUGCAUUAUCAUCAUUUAUCACUGAUAAAGAAAAUUUAGACUGUGACCAUGAACAUGUAUAUUGUUAGAUAUACUGUUCCCAGCUGUCACGUUGUAUUGGAUUUUUAAAUUAAAAUUUGUCAAAAAGAAUUUUGAGUUUCUGCAUAAAAUAUUUUUCUCCUUUUUCUUUCUUUUAUAUAUAUCUUUUGGUUUACAAUUCUAGUGUUUAUAUUCAUUUACCAUGCAUAGAUGUAUUUUUUUCACCUGCGUAAUUGAUCGCCAAACCCGGAAUUACCCUUAUCCGCUUCCGGGAUCGGAUCCGAUAUUGUAAAAUUUUGUCUUCACGGCAGCCAUUGUUAUGUUUUUACAAUGUUGUUUUUGUCAAUCAGAUACGAUUUUACUCGAAUUUAUACAAUAUUUGUCGGCGAUUUUCUGUAUAAAGCUAGCGAUUGAACAAAACGAACAUCGCUGUCAUGAAUAAUAAUGAUAAAAAUAAGUUUUUAGCUCGUUUAAUUGGAGACUUUGGUGAACAUGGUGAAAAGGUUUGCAAAGUUAACUCGUAUUUUCUUUCAAGUGGAAGGUGACUACGUCGGGCGUAGCUAAAAACCAACUAUCCUAGGCGAAAUUCCGCUUGCAAAAGUGGAAGGUCGCGGACCUCGGACCACUGCUAAUUUGCACACCUGCCUCCAAAUUGAAAAGAUACGAAACUUUCUUUUUCUAAUUUGAAAUUGCCGCCAACAGCAUGAACAGUUGAACUUAUUAUAUAAUAGACUACUGACGUAGUUGUACUACGUAUUGAUGACAAACAAU
rnacentral:lncRNA from 1 species